UGAGGAAUAUUGGGUCAAUGGGCGCGAGCCUGAACCAGCCAAGUCGCGUGAGGGAAGACGGCCCUACGGGUUGUAAACCUCUUUUGCCGGGGAGCAACGCUGCGGACGUGUCCGCAGGUGAGAGUACCCGGAGAAAAAGCAUCGGCUAACUCCGUGCCAGCAGCCGCGGUAAUACGGAGGAUGCGAGCGUUAUCCGGAUUUAUUGGGUUUAAAGGGUGCGUAGGCCGGCUGUCAAGUCAGCGGUAAAAAUUCGGGGCUCAACCCCGUAAAGCCGUUGAAACUGGCGGUCUUGAGUAGCGGCGAGGCAUGCGGAAUGCGAGGUGUAGCGGUGAAAUGCAUAGAUAUGACGCAGAACUCCGAUUGCGAAGGCAGCUUUCCAGCGCGCUACUGACGCUGAGGCACGAAAGCGUGGGGAUCGAACAGGAUUAGAUACCCUGGUAGU
rnacentral:rRNA from 1 species